UAUGGAGUUACACAAUCGGUUUCACAGCUGAUCUAAAUCAGAACAUUUUCUUGUUCUUGGUUUCCUCAUAUUCUCACAUAUUGUAUCAAAUGGUCUGAAGACUUUAACUGAAUCAGUGACUGUUUGUGUGUAUGUUAGUGGUCAUUUCUGCAGAAAUGAAGCCUCAAAUGUGUUUAUCCUUAUGAAAGAUGAUACAGAAUUCGGUUUAAAGUACUCCAUAGAGUUUUCGUUAGACAAGAAGCAAGAAAAAAAUAACAUGGAACUCUUCAAGCACACCUCUAGAAGGUAUCUUGACCAUCUUAUUCUACUGAAGAUCUGAGUCUCUUGUUAAAUGUUACUUUACAGGUCUCAUAAAACAGUGCGUUAAUCAAUGCAAGGAAGUUUGUUAAGAUGAAGAACAUGUG
rnacentral:lncRNA from 1 species